UUCUUCCCUCGACAAAUUUGACACGGGGCCGAAAAUCAAAUUUGCUUCUUUUUCCCCUUAAACAAAACCAUCUACGGUCUGCAGUGGUAAACCACUGCUCAUUUGAAUAUCCAAACACUGGCUGUUUGCAUCCAGGGGCUGGUGCCAAAAGCCUGUCACCCACAGCCAGCCCAAGCACAUCUGAGGCCGCUGAACUUAUUCAUCUCUGCCCUGAUACUUCCAGACUGUUCAAGGAGAAUUUGAAGAGGCUCCUACUGACCUACACUGAGCCAAAGACUUAAGAGGGACAUGACUGCUCUCAAAAUGUAAAUGGAAUAUAUUACCAGAAAAACCCACCCGAAUCCUCAGUCAAUAAUCCAUUUUUAGGAAAGAAUUUGUGCGAAAAUGAGAGAAGGAGAAACUGUUUCCUCUGGUACACAGCUCUGGACUCGUGAGCAAAACCCGAGAUGAAAUCCAGGAACAUCAUUCCUGAACAUUUCACAGAUCACAGGCAAAUCGCUCAGCAGGUCUGGCUACUUCUCCCAAAAAGGGAACAGCCUAUGUUUGGAAAACCAGUCAACAGAAAAACCGCUAAAUCUGGAACAUUUACCUGUGAACAGUUUGGUGGCAGAGUAUUUUUAGCUCUCAGGACAGAGUGUUAAUGGCACAUCUCUCCUGUUCCAAGGGCACAGCUAUGACCAGAGAGGCUAUUCCCAGUAUCCAACAGGUGUGGGUCAGCAUCUGCUGCCACCAGGGCUCCACAUGCAGUGCCUCUUCUGUUCAGUCCCCACUGCCCUCUCAACAUCAGGGGCUGCUGAACAAAUCAAACCAACUCACCAUUUCUUUUUAAAGUUCUAACACUCAGCACUUUGUGGAAUAAAAGUGGCUGCACAGCAGCAUAAAUGUGUUCCUCUGGUGGCAGUGGUGACACACCAAAGGGGUUUCUGGUAGGCUAAAACACAUGCAUCUUAAAAACAAAUAAAAGUUUGUGCAAUGCAGUAGGAGAGUAAAUACAUGAAACAAUCAAAUAAUAUAUUAAGAGAAUAGCUGAAAAGUUAAAAGACAUGACAAAGUAAGAACAUCCUGAAAUUAUCACUGUUCAACGAGAAAAAACCUCACAGAGAAGAGAAGAUGAUGAGAAAAAUGUUAACAGUGAUGAAAAACAAUAGCUCAAUGUAAUCCUCAACCUUAAUCUGUCCUUAGGCAUAGGGAGAUGUACACAAUCCCCAAGUACAACAUUUAUACAUUGGUGCAUACCUUUCAAUAAUCACAUACAUUUCACUGCAAUCAGAAGUAACACUUCCAGACACAGCUCCCCCAGCCAUAAAAUCUGUUAUGAACUCAACCCUCACCUAAAAACACACAUCAAAGCCUUUUUCCAUGCAAAACUGGCCUUUUUAAUGAGGAAUGGACAGUAAAAAAUGUGUCUGGGAUUAACAAUACAUGAAAAAGAA